GAUGAAGAACGCAGCGAACUGCGAUAAGUAAUGUGAAUUGCAGAAUUCAGUGAAUCAUCGAGUCUUUGAACGCACAUUGCGCCCCCUGGCAUUCCGGGGGGCAUGCCUGUCCGAGCGUCAUUGCUGCCCUUCAAGCCCGGCUUGUGUGUUGGGUCGUCGUCCCCCCCGGGGGACGGGCCCGAAAGGCAGCGGCGGCACCGCGUCCGGUCCUCGAGCGUAUGGGGCUUUGUCACCCGCUCGAUUAGGGCCGGCCGGGCGCCAGCCGGCGUCUCCAACCUUCUAUUUUACCAGGUUGACCUCGGAUCAGGUAGUGAUACCCGCUGAACUUAAGCAUAUCAAUAAGCGGAGGA
rnacentral:misc_RNA from 1 species